rnacentral:rRNA from 1 species
UACGGGGGGGGCAAGCGUUGUUCGGAAUUACUGGGCGUAAAGGGCGCGUAGGCGGAUGGACAAGUCUUUCGUGAAAGCCCGCGGCUCAACCGCAGAAUUGCAGGAGAUACUGUCUGUCUUGAGGCCGGGAGAGGAGGAUGGAAUUUCCAGUGGAGCGGUGAAAUGCGUAGAUAUUGGGAAGAACACCGGUGGCGAAGGCGGUCCUCUGGGCCGGUACUGACACUCAGGCGCGAAAGCUAGGGGAGCAAACGGG